rnacentral:tRNA from 1 species
UCCCUAAUGGUCCAGUGAUUAGGCCUUGGCAUUUUCAUUGCCUAGGGCCCAAGUUCAAUGCCUGGUCAGGGGA